CAACCAUCUCAGAGGGAGCCUUCUGCUUCCAGGAAUAAAGUCACACAUUCACAGGUGCUUCCUGUUUUUUCAAACACCUUGCCCACCUUUUGCACACCAAGCUUGCAUUCUGCAAAACGUGAGCCCAACAGGAAGCUGCCUGCAAAUUCAGGUAGCUUUUCUGAUUCUUAACGAGGUCUUGAAUAUACUUGCAGAGAAAUGUCAGCAAAAACUGUCGUCAUUUGGAGAAGAACAAGUCUGGAAGAAAAAUACACAGAGGACUAGCACCAAGAGGAUCAAUAACCACAAAGGUAAGCUGCUUCUGGUUAACCGGCAAAAAGGCUGGAUGGGAGAAUUUUCCUCUUCUGGGAUUCAGACAAGUGUCUGUAACCUACACCGGUGAGAAUUGGUCCAUAUACAUCCUAGAAGACCACACUUAGCAGUAAAUUAAAGGAACAAAGCUAAGCUGUCUCAUAUAGUUUGGUAAAGCAGCGUGUCACUGUGGGAGAAUAUCUAUUGAGGAUCUCAACAUGUAAAUGCUAUCGAUUCAAAGAAGUCCUUGUGCUGAGGAACCUGACUUCCUCUCUGGACAUACAUAUAACACGGUGCAAAACAACAAAUAACG